rnacentral:rRNA from 1 species
UACGUAGGGAGCGAGCGUUGUCCGGGAUUCAUUGGGCGUAAAGAGCUCGUAGGCGGCUUGGUAAGUCGGAUGUGAAACCUCCAGGCUCAACCUGGAGUCGCCAUCCGAUACUGCUAUGGCUAGAGUCCGGUAGGGGCCCACGGAAUUCCUGGUGUAGCGGUGAAAUGCGCAGAUAUCAGGAGGAACACCGAUGGCGAAGGCAGAUCUCUGGGCCGUAACUGACGCUGAGGAGCGAAAGCGUGGGGAGCGAACAGG